rnacentral:rRNA from 1 species
GCAUAUCAAUAAGCGGAGGAAAAGAAACCAACCGGGAUUGCCUCAGUAACGGCGAGUGAAGCGGCAAGAGCUCAAAUUUGAAAUCUGGCCCCCUCGGGGUCCGAGUUGUAAUUUGCAGAGGAUGCUUCGGGUGCGGCCCCCGUCUAAGUGCCCUGGAACGGGCCGUCAUAGAGGGUGAGAAUCCCGUCUGGGACGGGGUGUCCGCGUCCGUGUGAAGCUCCUUCGACGAGUCGAGUUGUUUGGGAAUGCAGCUCUAAAUGGGUGGUAAAUUUCAUCUAAAGCUAAAUACUGGCCGGAGACCGAUAGCGCACAAGUAGAGUGAUCGAAAGAUGAAAAGCACUUUGAAAAGAGAGUUAAAAAGCACGUGAAAUUGUUGAAAGGGAAGCGCUUGCGACCAGACUCGCCCGCGGGGUUCAGCCGGCAUUCGUGCCGGUGUACUUCCCCGCGGGCGGGCCAGCGUCGGUUUGGGCGGCCGGUCAAAGGCCCCCGGAAUGUAGUGCCCCUACGGGGGCACCUUAUAGCCGGGGGUGCAAUGCGGCCAGCCUGGACCGAGGAACGCGCUUCGGCACGGACGCUGGCAUAAUGGUUGCAAACGACCCGUCUUGAAACACGGACCAAGGAGUCUAACAUCUACGCGAGUGUUCGGGUGUCAAACCCGUGCGCGCAGUGAAAGCGAACGGAGGUGGGAGCCCCCCCGCGGGGCGCACCAUCGACCGAUCCUGAUGUCUUCGGAUGGAUUUGAGUAAGAGCGUAAAUGUGGGGACCCGAAAGAUGGUGAACUAUGCCUGAAUAGGGCGAAGCCAGAGGAAACUCUGGUGGAGGCUCGCAGCGGUUCUGACGUGCAAAUCGAUCGUCAAAUUUGGGGUAUAGGGGCGAAAGACUAAUCGAACCAUCUGGUAGCUGGUUCCUGCCGAAGUU